rnacentral:rRNA from 1 species
UACCAGCACCCCGAGUGGUCGGGACGAUUAUUGGGCCUAAAGCAUCCGUAGCCGGUCAUGCAAGUCUUCCGUUAAAUCCAGCCGCUCAACGGUUGGGCUGCGGAGGAUACUACGUGGCUAGGAGGCGGGAGAGGCAAGCGGUACUCAGUGGGUAGGGGUAAAAUCCUUUGAUCCAGUGAAGACCACCAGUGGCGAAGGCGGCUUGCCAGAACGCGCUCGACGGUGAGGGAUGAAAGCUGGGGGAGCAAACCGG